rnacentral:lncRNA from 1 species
AGCCAUUGCAGGAAGGCUCCCACGAUGUUUGAGUAGAUUCCCAAAUGCUCAGGGACCCCUGGCAUGUCACGAAAGGUAGGACAGGGAUCCCUAAGCCAUAGCUGGAACCCGGAGAGAGGAAGCCACUGAUGGGCUCCGUGGCACUGCAGGCAUGAUGCCCCAUCAAGACUCCUAAUUCCCCACGCCAACCUUGGCUGAGGCUCUGGCAGGCCACCCUCUGGGCUCAUUCUAGGAGCCUCUACCUGCCCCUGCCCUCAGGUGUGAAAUCUGGUUUUUGGGGGAGACCCACAAGUGUCCUACACCAUGUCCAGGCAGCACCAUGCCCUGCCCGUGUGACCUUGGGCCCCAGUCCCCUCCAGGACAGCACCACCUCCUGGACUAUGGCGAAGAUUAAAUGUGCAAAUACCCUGGGCUGGGCACCAGGAAUACAGCAGUGAAUGACACAGACGGCCAGGCUGCUGGAGGUGUUUCCCACCACCACCUCCUCACAUUGACC